GACAGAGGGUGCAAACGUUGCUCGGAAUUACUGGGCGUAAAGCGCGUGUAGGUGGAUUGUGUGUCAGAUGUGAAAUCCCUGGGCUCAACCCAGGAACUGCACCUGAAACUACCAGUCUUGAGUGGUGGAGAGGGAAGUGGAAUUCCUGGUGUAGAGGUGAAAUUCGUAGAUAUCAGGAGGAACACCAGUGGCGAAGGCGGCUUCCUGGACACCAACUGACGCUGAGACGCGAAAGCGUGGGGAGCAAACAGG
rnacentral:rRNA from 1 species